UCCCCUUGGCAGUGGGCAAAGAAACACCUUGUUGGUGGUGUUGCUCUUAUAUCAGUCGGGGCACAGCAGGUGAAGUCCUUUGUUCAUCCUAGUUUGAUGUCUGGCUUGAUGGCUAAAGUUGUUUUAUGCAUGGGACACAUAA